rnacentral:rRNA from 1 species
CACCGGCGGCUCGAGUGGUGGCCCCUUUUAUUGGGGCUAAAGCGUCCGUAGCCGGCUUGGCAAGUCCCCUGGGAAAUCUGGCGGCUUAACCGUCAGGCGUCCAGAGGAUACUGCCAGGCUUGGGACCGGGAGAGGUGAGAGGUACCUCAGGGGUAGGGGUGAAAUCUUGUGAUCCCUGAGGGACCACCAGUGGCGAAGGCGUCUCACUAGAACGGGUCCGACGGUCAGGGACGAAAGCUGGGGGCACGAACCGG